rnacentral:rRNA from 1 species
GAUGAACGCUGGCGGCGUGCCUAAUACAUGCAAGUCGAGCGAACAGACGAGGAGCUUGCUCCUCUGACGUUAGCGGCGGACGGGUGAGUAACACGUGGAUAACCUACCUAUAAGACUGGGAUAACUUCGGGAAACCGGAGCUAAUACCGGAUAAUAUAUUGAACCGCAUGGUUCAAUAGUGAAAGACGGUUUUGCUGUCACUUAUAGAUGGAUCCGCGCCGCAUUAGCUAGUUGGUAAGGUAACGGCUUACCAAGGCGACGAUGCGUAGCCGACCUGAGAGGGUGAUCGGCCACACUGGAACUGAGACACGGUCCAGACUCCUACGGGAGGCAGCAGUAGGGAAUCUUCCGCAAUGGGCGAAAGCCUGACGGAGCAACGCCGCGUGAGUGAUGAAGGUCUUCGGAUCGUAAAACUCUGUUAUUAGGGAAGAACAAAUGUGUAAGUAACUAUGCACGUCUUGACGGUACCUAAUCAGAAAGCCACGGCUAACUACGUGCCAGCCGCCGCGGUAACAC